rnacentral:tRNA from 1 species
GGCCUGUUGGUCUAGUGGUAUGAUGCUCGCUUCGGGUGUGUGAGGUCCCGGGUUCAACUCCCGGGCAGGCCU